UACGGGGGGGCAAGCGUUUUUUUUGUUCGGAAUUACUGGGCGUAAAGAGCUCGUAGGCGGUCUGUUUGCGUCGCUGUGAAAACCCGGGGCUCAACUCCGGGCCUGCAGCCGAUACGGGCAGACUAGAGUUCGGCAGGGGGAGACUGGAAUUUCCUGGUGUAGCGGUGGAAUGCGCAGAUAUCAGGAGGAACACCGGUGGCGAAGGCGGGUCUCUGGGCAGUAACUGACUGAGGAGCGAAAAGCGUGGGGAGCGAACAGGGAUUAGAAAACCCC
rnacentral:rRNA from 1 species